AAAUUGAAGAGUUUGAUCAUGGCUCAGAUUGAACGCUGGCGGCAGGCCUAACACAUGCAAGUCGAACGGUAACAGGAAGCAGCUUGCUGUUUCGCUGACGAGUGGCGGACGGGUGAGUAAUGUCUGGGAAACUGCCUGAUGGAGGGGGAUAACUACUGGAAACGGUAGCUAAUACCGCAUAACGUCGCAAGACCAAAGAGGGGGACCUUCGGGCCUC
rnacentral:rRNA from 1 species